GUUCCAGUACAGAGUCAAUAUGGCUAUAUACAGCAGGUUCCGGUACAGAGUCAAUAUGGAGGCUAUAUACAGCAGAUUCUGGGAAAGAAUCAAUAUGUAGGCUAUAUACAGCAGGUUCCAGUACAGAGUCAAUAUGGCUAUAUACAUCAGGUUCCAGUACAGAGUCAAUAUGGAGGCUGUAUACACCAGGUUCCGGUACAGGUACACAGUCUAUAUGGAGGCUUUUUACAGCAGAUUCCAGUACAGAGUCUAUAUGGAGGCUUUUUACAGCAGAUUCCAGUACAGAGUCAAUAUGGAGGCUUUUUACAGCAGAUUCCAGUACAGAGUCAAUAUGGAGGCUAUAUGCAGCAGUUUCCGGUACAGAGUCAAUAUGGAGGCUAUAUACAGCAGGUUCCGGUACAGAGUCAAUAUGGAGGCUAUAUACAGCAGGUUCCGAUACAGACUCAAUAUGGAGGCUAUAUACAGCAGGUUCCUGAACAGAGUUUAUAUGGAUGCUAUAUACAGCAGGUUCCGGUACAGAGUCCAUAUGGAGGCAAUAUGCAGCAGGUUCCGGUACAGUGUCUAUUUGGAGGCUAUAUACAGCAACAGAUUCCGGUACAGAGUCAAUAUGGAGGCUAUAUACAGCAGGUUCCGGUACAAAGUCAAUAUGGAGGCUAUAUACAGCAGGUUCUGGUACAGAGUCAAUAUGGAGGCUAUAUACAGCAGGCUCCAGUACAGAUUCAAUAUGGCUAUAUAUAGCAGGUUCCGAUACAGAGUCAAUAUGGAGGCU
ensembl:lncRNA